rnacentral:rRNA from 1 species
UCCAGACUCCUACGGGAGGCAGCAGUGAGGAAUAUUGGUCAAUGGGCGCGAGCCUGAACCAGCCAAGUAGCGUGAAGGAUGACUGCCCUACGGGUUGUAAACUUCUUUUAUAAAGGAAUAAAGUGAGGCACGUGUGCCUUUUUGUAUGUACUUUAUGAAUAAGGAUCGGCUAACUCCGUGCCAGCAGCCGCGGUAAUACGGAGGAUCCGAGCGUUAUCCGGAUUUAUUGGGUUUAAAGGGUGCGUAGGCGGUCAGGUAAGUUAGAGGUGAAAGCUCGAUGCUCAACAUCGAAACUGCCUCUGAUACUGUCUGACUAGAGUGUAGUUGCGGAAGGCGGAAUGUGUGGUGUAGCGGUGAAAUGCUUAGAUAUCACACAGAACACCGAUUGCGAAGGCAGCUUUCCAAGCUAUUACUGACGCUGAGGCACGAAAGCGUGGGGAGCGAACAGGAUUAGAUACCCGAGUA